rnacentral:rRNA from 1 species
GAUGAACGCUGGCGGCGUGCCUAAUACAUGCAAGUCGAGCGAACAGACGAGGAGCUUGCUCCUCUGACGUUAGCGGCGGACGGGUGAGUAACACGUGGAUAACCUACCUAUAAGACUGGGAUAACUUCGGGAAACCGGAUCUAAUACCGGAUAACAUGUUGAACCGCAUGGUUCAACAGUGAAAGACGGUCUUGCUGUCACUUAUAGAUGGAUCCGCGCCGCAUUAGCUAGUUGGUAAGGUAACGGCUUACCAAGGCAACGAUGCGUAGCCGACCUGAGAGGGUGAUCGGCCACACUGGAACUGAGACGCGGUCCAGACUCCUACGGGAGGCAGCAGUAGGGAAUCUUCCGCAAUGGGCGAAAUCCUGACGGAGCAACGCCGCGUGAGUGAAGAAGGUCUUCGGAUCGUAAAACUCUGUUAUUAGGGAAGAACAAAUGUGUAAGUAACUAUGCACGUCUUGACGGUACCUAAUCAGAAAGCCACGGCUAACUACGUG